rnacentral:rRNA from 1 species
UUCUGACCGUAAACGAUACCAUCUAGCGAUCCGGUGGUGGUUUUACCGCCUUGCCGGGGAGCUUCCCGGAAACGAAAGACUUCCGGUUCCGGGGGUAGUAUGGUUGCAAAGCUGAAACUUAAAGGAAUUGACGGAAUCGCACCACCAGGAGUGGAGCCUGCGGCUUAAUUUGACUCAACACGGGAAAACUCACCCGGCCCGGACACUGUAAGGAUUGACAGACUGAGAGCUCUUUCUUGAUUCGGUGGUUGGUGGUGCAUGGCCGUUCUUAGUUGGUGGAGCGAUUUGUCUGGUUUAUUCCGAUAACGAGCGAGACGCACCCCUACUUAAUACACCGUGAAUAAUUUCGUUCACAGGUGUUCUUAGAGGAAUUGGCGGUAUCGAGCCGCACGAAAGUGCGCAAUAACAGGUCUGUGAUGCCCUUAGAUGUUCGGGGCUGCACGCGUGCUACACUGGAGUCUGCAACGUGUUCCAUGGCCGAAGGGUCACUGGUAAACCGUUGAAAAGAUUCCGUGAUCGGGAUAGGGAAUUGCAAUUAUUUCCCUUGAACGAGGAAUUCCUAGUAAGUGUGAGUCAUCAUCUCGCUCUU